GAGCAUGUUCCCAAGGACUGUGGCUAGUGUAACCAUCUGAUCUCCAACUGCAUCAAAUAGAAACUUGUAGAGACUUUGAAAGCUCUGUCAGCAAAGUAUCUGCAGCUGCCACUCACCUUUCCUGUAAAA
ensembl:snoRNA